ensembl:snoRNA U3 Small nucleolar RNA U3
AACCACGAUGACGAGUUAAGAUGCUUUCUUCUGAGCGUGAAUCGGGUGGUGAGCGACGAGCGAGAUUGUCUGCUCUCUGUCAUUGAUGAACGUUCCUGCUGUGCUUUGCAGUCUGGAAGAAGAAAGCAUGUUCAGAGUGGU